UACGUAGGGUGCAAGCGUUGUCCGGAAUUAUUGGGCGUAAAGAGCUUGUAGGCGGUUUGUCGCGUCUGCUGUGAAAUUUCGGGGCUCAACCCCGAACUUGCAGUGGGUACGGGCAGACUAGAGUGUGGUAGGGGAGACUGGAAUUCCUGGUGUAGCGGUGAAAUGCGUAGAUAUGUGGAGGAACACCGAUGGCGAAGGCAGCCCCCCUGGGUCAAGACUGACGCUCAUGCACGAAAGCGUGGGGAGCAAACAGG
rnacentral:rRNA from 1 species